CCGAAUGGGGAAACCCAGUGUGAUUCGUCACACUAUCAUUAACUGAAUCCAUAGGUUAAUGAGGCGAACCGGGGGAACUGAAACAUCUAAGUACCCCGAGGAAAAGAAAUCAACCGAGAUUCCCCCAGUAGCGGCGAGCGAACGGGGAGGAGCCCAGAGCCUGAAUCAGCAUGUGUGUUAGUGGAAGCGUCUGGAAAGGCGCGCGAUACAGGGUGACAGCCCCGUACACAAAAGCGCAUGUGCUGUGAGCUCGAUGAGUAGGGCGGGACACGUGGUAUCCUGUCUGAAUAUGGGGGGACCAUCCUCCAAGGCUAAAUACUCCUGACUGACCGAUAGUGAACCAGUACCGUGAGGGAAAGGCGAAAAGAACCCCGGCGAGGGGAGUGAAAAAGAACCUGAAACCGUGUACGUACAAGCAGUGGGAGCACAGGUUUACCUGUGUGACUGCGUACCUUUUGUAUAAUGGGUCAGCGACUUAUAUUCUGUAGCAAGGUUAACCGUAUAGGGGAGCCGUAGGGAAACC
rnacentral:rRNA from 1 species